rnacentral:rRNA from 1 species
UGGGUUGGAAAUCCCUCGAAUGUCCCAGAGACGGGACGGUGCCCUUCGGGGAACGAGGUGUGCAGGUGCUGCAUGGCUGUCGUCAGCUCGUGUCGUGAGAUGUUGGGUUAAGUCCCGCAACGAGCGCAACCCUUGUCUCUAGUUGCCAGCGGUUCGGCCGGGCACUCUAGUGAGACUGCCGGUGUUAAACCGGAGGAAGGUGGGGAUGACGUCAAGUCCUCAUGGCCCUUAUGCCCAGGGCUACACACGUACUACAAUGGCGACCACAAAGGGCUGCAAGACCGCGAGGUUUAGCUAAUCCCAAAAAUGUCGCCUCAGUUCAGAUUGGAGUCUGCAACUCGACUCCAUGAAGU